rnacentral:rRNA from 1 species
UACGUAGGGUGCGAGCGUUGUCCGGAAUUAUUGGGCGUAAAGAGCUUGUAGGCGGUUUGUCGCGUCUGCCGUGAAAAUUCGAGGCUCAACCUCGAACUUGCGGUGGGUACGGGCAGACUAGAGUGUGGUAGGGGAGACUGGAAUUCCUGGUGUAGCGGUGAAAUGCGCAGAUAUCAGGAGGAACACCGAUGGCGAAGGCAGGUCUCUGGGCCAUUACUGACACUGAGAAGCGAAAGCAUGGGGAGCGAACAGG